rnacentral:rRNA from 1 species
UACGUAGGGUGCAAGCGUUAAUCGGAAUUACUGGGCGUAAAGCGUGCGUAGGCGGUUCGUUGUGUCUGUGGUGAAAGCCCCGGGCUUAACCCUGGAAUGCCGGUGGAUACUGUCGGGCUAGAGUCCGGAAGGGCGAGUGGAAUUCCUGGUGUAGCGGUGAAAUGCGCAGAUAUCAGGAGGAACACCAAUGGCGAAGGCAGCUCGCUGGGACGUGACUGACGCUGAGACGCGAAAGCGUGGGGAGGCAAACAGG